UACGUAGGGGGCAAGCGUUGUCCGGAGUUACUGGGCGUAAAGCGCACGCAGGCGGUCGGCUGCGUAGGUGGUGACAGUCCUCGGCUUACCUGAGGAAGCGCUGCCUAAACGGGUCGACUUGAGGGCCAGAGAGGGACACGGAACUCCGGGUGGAGCGGUGAAAUGCGUAGAGAUCCGGAAGAACACCAAAGGCGAAGGCAGUGUCCUGGCUGGCUCCUGACGCUCAGGUGCGAAAGCGUGGGGAGCGAACAGG
rnacentral:rRNA from 1 species